AACGAACGCUGGCGGCGUGCCUAAUACAUGCAAGUCGAACGAGAAAGUCCUUCGGGACGAGUAGAGUGGCGCACGGGUGAGUAACACGUAGGUUACCUACCUUUUAGUGGGGAACAACUGGAGGAAACUCCAGCUAAUACCGCAUACGGUGGAAACACUAAAGGGGGCUUCGGCUCUCGCUAAAAGAUGGGCCUGCGGAACAUUAGCUUGAUGGUGGGGUAAUGGCCUACCAUGGCGAUGAUGUUUAGCUGGUCUGAGAGGAUGAUCAGCCACACUGGAACUGAGACACGGUCCAGACUCCUACGGGAGGCAGCAGUAGGGAAUAUUGCGCAAUGGGGGAAACCCUGACGCAGCAACGCCGCGUGAGUGAGGACGGCCUUAGGGUUGUAAAGCUCUGUUAACAGGGAUGAACGGCUUAGCGGUUAAUACCCGUUAGGUUUGACAGUACCUGUAGAGGAAGCACCGGCUAACUUCG
rnacentral:rRNA from 1 species